UACGUAGGGUGCGAGCGUUGUCCGGAAUUAUUGGGCGUAAAGGGCUCGUAGGCGGUCUGUCACGUCGGGAGUGAAAACUCAGGGCUUAACCCUGAGCCUGCUUCCGAUACGGGCAGACUAGAGGUAUGCAGGGGAGAACGGAAUUCCUGGUGUAGCGGUGGAAUGCGCAGAUAUCAGGAGGAACACCGGUGGCGAAGGCGGUUCUCUGGGCAUUACCUGACGCUGAGGAGCGAAAGUGUGGGGAGCGAACAGG
rnacentral:rRNA from 1 species